CAGAGAUUGCCAGGACAAAUGUUACCAAUACAACUUCAGCUCAGUCCUCUGCAGGCCGUGUGGCACAGUCUUGAUUCCUUAUUUCUCCUGCAUUAAUUCAUCAGUGAAGCUCGAGCCCACUCUCUCCCUUGCAGCUCUCAGGAAGAGAUUGCUUGCAGACUCUCUCUUUCAGCUGGAUGACAAGGGAAUCAUUCAGCAUGGGCCAGGAGAACACAUAUCCAACAGUGAGUUACACAAGCAGUUGUGAGACAGUACUGCAAUGUCAGCAAAGUGGAUCCUUGGGUCUAGCUCUGGCUCUGGAGGCAGAGAGCAGCCUAAGUCAUCGUGAACAAGUGGCCCCAUCACAGCAGCAGCAGGAGCUCCACGAUGCGCAGGCGGCCACCGAGCCUGAAAAACAAGUUCAGAAAUACAGAAAUACGCCACCACUAUGUCUGCAAAACAAUCAGCCACGUGGAUCCUGGCUGUAACACUGGGCUUAGAGACUGCAGCCACGCAUCCUGGGAGGCAGCACCGCUGCACAGUCAGCCCUCGUGGUCAUCUGAUGUUUUCAGUUACAAGGAAAAACAGGAGCAUAGAGAAACAAAGAGAAUGGCAGAACAGCAAAGGAAUUUUAAAUGGACAAAGAAUUCAUGGUGUUGGCAUUUUAAUGCUAUACUACUGCCUUUUUAAUGGAUUUAUCCAACUGCA